rnacentral:rRNA from 1 species
UUAAGUUAGAAAGGGCGCACGGUGGAUGCCUUGACACUAGGAGUCGAUGAAGGACGGGACUAACGCCGAUAUGCUUCGGGGAGCUGUAAGUAAGCUUUGAUCCGAAGAUUUCCGAAUGGGGAAACCCACCAUACGUAAUGGUAUGGUAUCCUUAUCUGAAUACAUAGGAUAAGGAAGACAGACCCAGGGAACUGAAACAUCUAAGUACCUGGAGGAAGAGAAAGCAAAUGCGAUUUCCUGAGUAGCGGCGAGCGAAACGGAACAUAGCCCAAACCAAGAGGCUUGCCUCUUGGGGUUGUAGGACAUUCUAUACGGAGUUACAAAGGAACGAGGUAGACGAAGCGACCUGGAAAGGUCCGUCGUAGAGGGUAACAACCCCGUAGUCGAAACUUCGUUCUCUCUUGAAUGUAUCCUGAGUACGGCGGAACACGUGAAAUUCCGUCGGAAUCUGGGAGAACCAUCUCCCAAGGCUAAAUACUCCCUAGUGAUCGAUAGUGAACCAGUACCGUGAGGGAAAGGUGAAAAGCACCCCGGAAGGGGAGUGAAAGAGAUCCUGAAACCGUGUGCCUACAAAUAGUCAGAGCCCGUUAACGGGUGAUGGCGUGCCUUUUGUAGAAUGAACCGGCGAGUUACGAUCCCGUGCGAGGUUAAGCUGAAGAGGCGGAGCCGCAGCGAAAGCGAGUCUGAAUAGGGCGUUUAGUACGUGGUCGUAGACCCGAAACCAGGUGAUCUACCCAUGUCCAGGGUGAAGUUCAGGUAACACUGAAUGGAGGCCCGAACCCACGCACGUUGAAAAGUGCGGGGAUGAGGUGUGGGUAGCGGAGAAAUUCCAAUCGAACCUGGAGAUAGCUGGUUCUCCCCGAAAUAGCUUUAGGGCUAGCCUUAAGUGUAAGAGUCUUGGAGGUAGAGCACUGAUUGGACUAGGGGUCCUCAUCGGAUUACCGAAUUCAGUCAAACUCCGAAUGCCAAUGACUUAUCCUUAGGAGUCAGACUGCGAGUGAUAAGAUCCGUAGUCAAAAGGGAAACAGCCCAGACCGCCAGCUAAGGUCCCAAAGUGUGUAUUAAGUGGAAAAGGAUGUGGAGUUGCUUAGACAACUAGGAUGUUGGCUUAGAAGCAGCCACCAUUUAAAGAGUGCGUAAUAGCUCACUAGUCGAGUGACUCUGCGCCGAAAAUGUACCGGGGCUAAAUACACCACCGAAGCUGCGGAUUGAUACCAAUGGUAUCAGUGGUAGGGGAGCGUUCUAAGGACAGUGAAGUCAGACCGGAAGGACUGGUGGAGUGCUUAGAAGUGAGAAUGCCGGUAUGAGUAGCGAAAGACGGGUGAGAAUCCCGUCCACCGAAUGCCUAAGGUUUCCUGAGGAAGGCUCGUCCGCUCAGGGUUAGUCAGGACCUAAGCCGAGGCCGACAGGCGUAGGCGAUGGACAACAGGUUGAUAUUCCUGUAACACCUCUUUAUCGUUUGAGCAAUGGAGGGACGCAAAAGGAUAGAAGAAGCGUGCGAUUGGUUGUGCACGUCCAAGCAGUUAGGCUGAUAAGUAGGCAAAUCCGCUUAUCGUGAAGGCUGAGCUGUGAUGGGGAAGCUCCUUAUGGAGCGAAGUCUUUGAUUCCCCGCUGCCAAGAAAAGCUUCUAGCGAGAUAAAAGGUGCCUGUACCGCAAACCGACACAGGUAGGCGAGGAGAGAAUCCUAAGGUGUGCGAGAGAACUCUGGUUAAGGAACUCGGCAAAAUGACCCCGUAACUUCGGGAGAAGGGGUGCUUUCUUAACGGAAAGCCGCAGUGAAUAGGCCCAAGCGACUGUUUAGCAAAAACACAGCUCUCUGCGAAGCCGUAAGGCGAAGUAUAGGGGGUGACACCUGCCCGGUGCUGGAAGGUUAAGGAGAGGGGUUAGCGUAAGCGAAGCUCUGAACUGAAGCCCCAGUAAACGGCGGCCGUAACUAUAACGGUCCUAAGGUAGCGAAAUUCCUUGUCGGGUAAGUUCCGACCCGCACGAAAGGUGUAACGAUUUGGGCACUGUCUCAACCAGAGACUCGGUGAAAUUAUAGUACCUGUGAAGAUGCAGGUUACCCGCGACAGGACGGAAAGACCCCGUGGAGCUUUACUGUAGCCUGAUAUUGAAUUUUGGUACAGUUUGUACAGGAUAGGCGGGAGCCUUUGAAACCGGAGCGCUAGCUUCGGUGGAGGCGCUGGUGGGAUACCGCCCUGACUGUAUUGAAAUUCUAACCUACGGGUCUUAUCGACCCGGGAGACAGUGUCAGGUGGGCAGUUUGACUGGGGCGGUCGCCUCCUAAAGUGUAACGGAGGCGCCCAAAGGUUCCCUCAGAAUGGUUGGAAAUCAUUCGUAGAGUGCAAAGGCAUAAGGGAGCUUGACUGCGAGACCUACAAGUCGAGCAGGGACGAAAGUCGGGCUUAGUGAUCCGGUGGUUCCGCAUGGAAGGGCCAUCGCUCAACGGAUAAAAGCUACCCCGGGGAUAACAGGCUUAUCUCCCCCAAGAGUCCACAUCGACGGGGAGGUUUGGCACCUCGAUGUCGGCUCAUCGCAUCCUGGGGCUGUAGUCGGUCCCAAGGGUUGGGCUGUUCGCCCAUUAAAGCGGUACGCGAGCUGGGUUCAGAACGUCGUGAGACAGUUCGGUCCCUAUCCGUCGUGGGCGUAGGAAAUUUGAGAGGAGCUGUCCUUAGUACGAGAGGACCGGGAUGGACGCACCGCUGGUGUACCAGUUGUUCUGCCAAGGGCAUAGCUGGGUAGCUAUGUGCGGAAGGGAUAAGUGCUGAAAGCAUCUAAGCAUGAAGCCCCCCUCAAGAUGAGAUUUCCCAUAGCGUAAGCUAGUAAGAUCCCUGAAAGAUGAUCAGGUUGAUAGGUUCGAGGUGGAAGCAUGGUGACAUGUGGAGCUGACGAAUACUAAUAGAUCGAGGACUUAACCAU